rnacentral:rRNA from 1 species
GACAGAGGGUGCAAACGUUGUUCGGAAUUACUGGGCGUAAAGCGCGCGUAGGCGGCUUUGUAAGUCAGAGGUGAAAGCCUGGAGCUCAACUCCAGAACUGCCUUUGAAACUACAUCGCUAGAAUCAUGGAGAGGUUAGUGGAAUUCCGAGUGUAGAGGUGAAAUUCGUAGAUAUUCGGAAGAACACCAGUGGCGAAGGCGACUAACUGGACAUGUAUUGACGCUGAGGUGCGAAAGCGUGGGGAGCAAACAGG